rnacentral:rRNA from 1 species
CAUGGCGUACUGCUCAGUAACACGUGGACAACCUACCCUGAGGACGGGAAUAAACCCGGGAAACUGGGUAUAAUACCCGAUAGAUCUCGGCUGCUGGAAUGCACCGAGGUCGAAAGCUCCGGCGCCUCAGGAUGGGUCUGCGGCCUAUCAGGUAGUAGUGGGUGUAGCGUACCUACUAGCCUACGACGGGUACGGGUUGUGAGAGCAAGAGCCCGGAGAUGGAUUCUGAGACACGAAUCCAGGCCCUACGGGGUGCAGCAGGCGCGAAAACUUUACAAUGCCGGCAACGGCGAUAAGGGGACCUCGAGUGCCAGGUUACAAAUCUGGCUGUCGUGAUGCCUAAAAAGCAUUGCAUAGCAAGGGCCGGGCAAGACCGGUGCCAGCCGCCGCGGUAACACCGGCGGCUCGAGUGGUAACCGUUAUUAUUGGGUCUAAAGGGUCUGUAGCCGGCCGGAUAAGUCUCUUGGGAAAUCCAGCAGCUCAACUGUUGGGCUUUCAGGAGAUACUGUCUGGCUCGAGGCCGGGAGAGGUGAGAGGUACUUCAGGGGUAGGGGUGAAAUCUUGUAAUCCUUGAAGGACCACCAGUGGCGAAGGCGUCUCACCAGAACGGACCUGACGGCAAGGGACGAAAGCUAGGGGCACGAACCGGAUUAGAUACCCGGGUAGUCCUAGCCGUAAACGAUACUCGCUAGGUGUCGGCCACGGUGCGACCGUGGUCGGUGCCGUAGGGAAGCCGUGAAGCGAGCCACCU